rnacentral:rRNA from 1 species
AUGGCCGCCGGGACGAAGACCGUCGACUACGCGGCGGAAAGAGCGCUCGCCAAGGACUUCCUCACCAAUUUCGCCGGCCCGCACGGCGAGCCCAAGUACCAGAACAUCCUGCAAGACAUCGCGAACCGGAAGAUCCGCGCCGCCCAGAUCGAGCUGGACGACCUGUUCCACUACAAGGAUGUGGACGAGGAGUUCCUGCAGAGGGUCACCGAGAACACCAAGCGCUACAUUGGCAUAUUCGCCGAGGCCGUGGACGAGCUCAUGCCCGAGCCCACGGAGGCCUUCGCUGUGGACGAGGACAGGGACAUCUUGAUGACGCAGCGCGUGGAUGAAGGGGCUGAUGGAGGCGCUGACGGCACAGACCCUCUACAGAGGAUGCCGCCGGAAAUCAAGCGGUUCUUUGAGGUAUACAUCAAGGCAUUCUCAAAGGUGACACCACUCACCCUUAGGCAAGUGAAGGCAUCCCACAUUGGGCAGCUUGUGAAAAUAUCUGGAAUUGUCACUCGCUGCUCGGAUGUGAAGCCCUUGAUGCAGGUGGCGGUUUAUACAUGUGAAGAGUGCGGUUUUGAGAUAUACCAGGAAGUGACUGCUAGAGUCUUUAUGCCUCUCUUUGAGUGCCCAUCCCAACGAUGCAAGCUGAACAAAGCAAAGGGGAAUUUGAUCCUUCAACUGCGAGCAUCAAAAUUCCUUAAGUUUCAGGAGGUGAAGCUCCAAGAACUUGCAGAGCAUGUACCAAAGGGCCACAUCCCACGUUCUCUAACUGCUCAUCUCAGAGGAGAGCUGACAAGAAAGGUGGCACCUGGAGAUGUGGUUGAGAUGUCUGGUGUUUUCCUCCCCAUGCCUUACUUUGGAUUCCGGGCCAUGCGAGCAGGAUUGGUUGCUGAUACCUAUUUGGAAGCAAUGUCUAUUACCCAUUUCAAGAAGAAAUAUGAAGAGUACGAACUUAAGGGUGAUGAGCAGGAACAAAUUGACCGAUUGGCUGAGGACGGUGAUAUCUACAGUAAGCUAUCAAAAUCAUUGGCACCUGAAAUAUUUGGGCAUGAAGACGUGAAAAAGGCGUUGUUGCUGCUACUCGUUGGUGCACCUCAUCGGAAGCUUGGAGAUGGCAUGAAGAUCAGAGGAGAUCUGCACAUAUGCCUGAUGGGAGAUCCUGGUGUUGCAAAGAGUCAACUUCUAAAGCAUAUUAUCAAUGUUGCUCCAAGAGGAGUGUAUACCACAGGGCGUGGGAGCAGUGGUGUUGGUCUUACUGCUGCUGUCCAGAAAGACCCAGUUACAAAUGAGUUUGUCCUUGAGGGAGGGGCACUGGUACUGGCGGACAUGGGUAUCUGUGCAAUAGAUGAGUUUGACAAGAUGGAAGAGUCUGACAGGACAGCGAUUCAUGAGGUGAUGGAGCAGCAAACAGUUAGCAUUGCCAAGGCUGGCAUCACCACCUCUCUUAAUGCAAGAACUGCAGUUCUUGCUGCUGCAAAUCCAGCAUGGGGAAGGUAUGAUAUGAGGAGGACUCCAGCUGAGAACAUAAAUCUUCCUCCAGCACUUCUCUCACGUUUCGACCUCCUUUGGUUGAUCCUGGAUCGUGCGGACAUGGAAAAUGAUCUUGAAAUGGCAAGACAUGUUGUUCAUGUACACCAAAAUCUUGAAUCGCCAGCACUUGGGUUCACAGCACUUGAACCAUCUGUUCUUAGGGCAUACAUAUCUGCUGCAAGAAGAGUCACUCCUUCUGUUCCUCGAGAUCUUGAGGAAUACAUUGCAACUGCCUAUUCAAGCAUUCGCCAAGAGGAAGCCAAGUCAAAUGCACCUCAUUCUUACACAACCAUUAGGACACUUCUGAGCAUAGUCCGGAUUUCUAUUGCCUUGGCAAGACUUCGAUUUUCAGAAACUGUUGCCCAGAGUGAUGUUGAUGAAGCACUACGCCUGAUGCAGAUGUCAAAGUACUCGCUCUACUCUGAUGACCGCCAGCGGUCUGGCCUGGAUGCCAUCUCUGACAUAUACUCCAUCCUGAGAGAUGAAGCAGCAAGGACCAGCAGCAUGGAUGUGAAAUAUGGUCAUGCUCUUAACCUGAUCUCCAGAAAGGGAUACAGUGAGGCUCAGCUGAAGGAGUGCCUGGAGGAGUAUGCAUCCUUGAACGUGUGGCAGAUCCACCCAAGCACCUUCGACAUCCACUUCAUCGAUGCCUGA